CGCCUUCUGUGAACGAUUCUACAUAAACAAAAAUACCAAUAAACGACUUCAAAAGCCCACGUGUACUCGCUUGUGCAGGGUCAUUUCAUGUCUUAUAUAAACAAUUCCCAAGUAAAAUGUACCAUGUGACAAUCUUUAUGUAAUUUCCUGGAGUCUGUAAUGUGCUAAAUAUAAUGCCGUCUGCUCUUUUCAUAAUUAUUCCUUUUUUAUGUUGUCCUUUGUUCUGGCAGAAUUCUAUUAUUGUUGAACUAGAAAAACAUAUGUUAUUACUGUAUAUUCAACAUAU
rnacentral:lncRNA from 1 species